CAGAGAACAUGAAAAAAAUGGGUGUUGCCAUACCAACUGUAACAAGACUAAUCAAUUAAGAGCACUCUUGGAAAUGGAAUCUUCAGCUUCAAAGGUUUGAUCUGUCCUUGCAAACUCAAGUACAAUCGAAAAGAGUAGAGCAAGUAUCUCUCAAGUUGUGCAGAGUCAAUCACCUGUAACUUUAAGGAUAUUACAUCAUACAGCCUUCAUGGAAUUUCACAUGUAAGCAUCAUGCACGUUAUAAUUCAUUUAAUUUAAAGUGAUUUAUUUGAAAGAAGAAUGGAAGAACAACAGCAAACAAACAAAAAAAUGAACAAUGUGGAAAAACUAAGUGCCAAGCAGUCAGCAGAGCAGUACCCUAAAACAUUUCAUGAAAAUGGAGGAAAGUAGUUUUGGGCGUCAUGCAAUGUACCUUUUGAUUUCACGAGACAGGCUAGCUGUGAUGCGCAUUUUGAAAGUGCAACUCAUAAGUGAAAAUGAGAGACAUUAAAAAUGGACAAAGAUAGAAAUUAAAAAAAGCAGAAAACAGCUACAGAGCUGUUUUGUAUCAAGACCGAGGAGCAGCUUUACAGGAGGAAUGAAGUGUUCAAAUUAAGAGAUGCUUUCUCUGCUGCAAAUAUACUUCUGCAUACCCUUGACAAUCCAAAACUGAGAGGGUUUUUAGAGAACAAGGUAGGUAUUACACCAAGUGCAGAUCAACUUAGAAAGUUUUAACUACCUGAAGAGUUUGACUGUCACAUUGAAGAAUUAAAGGAAAAGUUGCUGUCCUGUGAAGGAAUUAGCACUGUGGCAGAUGAAACUACCGAGGCUGAAGACUGGUAUGUGCCUAACAUUCUUGCCAUCCCCGUCCCAACAAGAAGUGACAAUGCAGACACUUCAGAUGCAGGUAAACACAAGCUGGAUGUUUUUGUGUUACAUUAUGAAGUUUUGGAAGCAAUCAAUUUUAAAACAGUCAGCAAAGCAACACGGGGAAACUUGAAAAAUUUGCAAUACCAUUUGAUCCCAUCACUGCAUUUGUGACUGCUAAUGCCAUGUACAUGGGGAAAGCUUGGCAUCAAGUUUUGAAACCUUUGUGUUUCAGUGCUGUACACCUUACAUGCAUGGCACAUUUACUUCACCUUUGGGCAAUCUGUGCAGGAAGAUACGCUUGAAAGUAAUUGAAUUAGUUGUGGCUGUAAAACGUGCGUUCACUGCCUGCCCUGCCAGAGAAGCCCGGUUCUGCAUGUUUCUAACGGAAAGAGGGAAAAGUCCUUCCAUUCCACCAACCCCCGUAAUAACCAGAUGGAACAGCUGGUUCAAUGCAGCUGUUUAUGACAUUGAUCACACUGAGGAUUAUGUUUCAUUUUUUUACAGAGGAGAAUGGUCAUAGCAGUAGUUCAGGUGUUCAAGAGUGUGUUGAUCUUUGCCAAUCCACAGCAGUUAUUGAAGAACUUCAGGCUCUAAGAGUUUGCACCCUGAUCAAGAACAUGCUUACAGCUUUUGAACAACACACAGUUCAUGCUCAUCAAGUCAAAAAUGAUAUGCAUGAUCUUGCACUGGGGGCAGAGAGCUGCUCUGAAAUUUGCCAACACCCAAGAGCAAAACCAGCACUCUUGGAAAGCUCAAAAAAAGUUCAUACAUGGACACUAAGUCAACCUCUCGCUUUCGCCAGCCUGCUGCCACUUUCUACAGUGCAUGCCGUGUAUUUGAGCCAAAUGAAGCAAAACACUUGGACAUUUGUGAGACCACAGUAUUUGAAAAUAUACCACUGUUUGAAGACAACAUUCCAGCACAAAUCUUAGAAUCACAAUUCACUGAGUGACACAUACUUCGCAACCAGGUUUUUCAAUUUCCAUUACACUUUUGGAUGUCACCUGGACUGGGUGCCUUGUCAGUUGGAAGGAUCUCUGACCUUUUAAAUAAGCAUUUUGACUGUUGUCUGCACAGAAGAUAUGCUGAACAGCACUUGCCAUCCUGAGAUCCCAAACACACUCUCAGACGCCAAUGGAUCAAGCCUCCCAAUGCCCUUGUGGGGUUGUCUCAUGGUCCUAGCAGACAGAAUAUUAACGCUGCCGGCCCAGUCUGGGGAAGCCAAAUAGGAACAGCAGAUCCAGCGCAGACACUUAAGAAAGGAACUUUUGAUGCAGAGUAUCUUGUUUUUUCCUGCAGAAGACACCAGUGAAUAACGAAGCCAAGUUGUAUGCGGGGGGACACACACACAAGAAUAUGCAUUGCCCACUGCGUGCCUUUGUUUUUGUUUGCUGAGUGCUACUGUUGUGACUUGCUUGUUGAAUGCUCUCUGCAGUAAUGAUGAGUGACUGGAGCAACAGUAAUUAUUUUUGAUCUCAGAGUAAACAGAAUAAUUAAAAUUAAUGAGUUUACAAUAUUUUUAAAUGGGGGAACUUGGUAUAUAGUGUUAGAAAAUAUAAUUAUUCUAUUACUAAACAGGGAUGCUGAGCAGCCAGCAUCUGAGCAAACACAACCUCUUCCAUACCAAUGGGCAAUCUGGUUAAUUGUAGCUUAUUUUAUGUGUUUAUAUGACCUUCUGUUGCCACAGUGUCUGAGCACCUCACAAUCUGUAAUUAUUUAUGCUCACAAACACCCCUGUGAGAUAGGGAAGUGCUACUCCCUCCUUUCACAGGUGAGGCACAGAGAGACUAAAUGACUUGACUAGGGUCAUAUAAGUCUGUGAAGUAGCUGAGAAUUGAACCAAGGACUUCUGGGUACCAGGCUAGUGCUCUAACCAAUGGAUGAUCCUUGUGGUAUGUCUUGGUGAUUGGUUUCUUUGUAAUUUUGGCAAAAGUCUGCUUUGCUAGACUGCUGUCAACUAGAAGGUUGCUGCAUACACAAACAGCCCUCUUAGAACCCACCCAUGAAAAAGGAGCCUGGAUCCCUGUCUCCAUCAGGCUCUUCUAUAGCAACAGCAAGAAAGUAGACACAUAGCGUUCUUCCUUGCUGCACCUCAUGGGCUUGAAGAACCUACAUCUUUUACUCAGGUAAAACGUCCACUGAAAUCAGUGGAAGUUCAGGCCAUGUGGACUCACUGCCUGUUCCCUCCUACAUGUUAAAUUGCUUUGAUCUCAGCUGAAAUAAUGCAGGAGUGUCCACUCUUACAGAGGAGUUUGAAAGAUGGUGGCUCAGCAAGUCAUCAAAUCUGUGCAUCUCACUCACCACCCUCUUCUGUCUCCCAGGUGGAUUCCCUGCUGUCUGCCUAGGUUUGUGACAAAUGGGUAUUAUUGGGGGCCUCGUAAUGAAAAAGUGCAUUGCCACUUCCUAUCAAAGAGGCCACGCUGCAGUCUGCCCAUCCAAAUGCACAGAGACUCUGAUGAAUUCAGGCUGCGUAGUGGCUACCGUUCUUUCAUUUGCUAUUAUUGCACGUCCGGAUACCCCUUAUUGCACUUGUCUGUUCUUCUCCACUAUAUCAUUUUGAUAGACGAGUUUUAGAGCAUUUUCUGACUGCCCAAAGUGAAAGUGUAAUUAGAUAUCUAAUUGGCUGCAGUACGUAUAGUUUAAAAGGUUAAAAAAUGCAUGUCUCUACCAUUAGAAUAAAGGCUUCUGCUAGACAUAAAUAUUGCUUUAAACUCUUUAACCUGCAUUGUUUCUAAAGCACCUGGCGAUAUGUAAAACUCUAACACAACUUAACAGAAGAAAUCAGUGAUGUAACUUUUCGGCAAUGAAUGUGCAACUCAUAAGUGAUGGUGUAGCUCAUAACUGAUGUAACCUUCUCUUUUAAUAUCUAUGUAAGGAAACAAUUUGUGCCAUCAACACUUCUGUUAACUUUAGUAGAACUCUCACACCUAGUCACGGGGCAUAAGUGGCUGUGCAGGGGCAUAAGAGGAAGUAAGAGACUGUCCCCUCCUCCCAAAACACCAACCACCAGCCUCCUCGCAUCAGAGCUAGAAGUGCAGGGUGGAAAGCAAGGGCCUCAUGCCUGUUAUUUCCCACCUCUGUGCUAAUGGGCAGGGAGUGGGUGGAGGGGAAGUUGCAAAUGGGUGUAGUCUCAGCUCCACCUCUAGUGUGCCAGCUGGGCCAGCCCUGGAGGCCAGACUACUUCCCCCUAGGAGCAGGGUGUAGCAGAGAAGGAAAUUUGCCUCUAAAACAAUUCCUUCCUUAUAGCCCUUACUGAGGGUUAGUUGGAAGUGGGCAAUCUGGCCCUUAGUGAUUUAAAUGUAAUCAGAAGUGAGGGAGGGUGCAAAUCAGAACCAUUCAUAUUGCUCUUCUGUUUCCUCCCACCCAACAUACAUCCCCCCCACACACUUUGUAGGGGGAUGGAGAAGGAAAAGUCAGGCCUGAACCCAUCCUACCCUGGGCUUUGCCCAACCAAAACUUCUUUUGCUUUUUAUCCAUAUCUUCUAGGAGUUUUCAAAUGGAAAUACUUCCCACUGGUUUUACUCUUUCAAAAGCAAACUCUCCAGAGUUUCAGAAAUUCUGCUUUGAAACUGGGUGAAACAACCUACAACUCUGCUGUGAGGACUAGCUGCUAGGACCUCAUCCAUAAUCUCUCUCCACACCCCCAUGAGUUGUAUAUCUAACACAUCACACAGGGGAAAGUUAGCUUCAUAUAAAUGCAUUCUCACUUCCCUGCUUUUACUCUAGGCUUCAGGAUAUACCAUAGCACAUCUCAUACCAUUAGGGAUCUCAGAUUGGUGGGAAAGAGCCACUUUUCUUAUUAAUUUAUUCAGACAGUUGGCAGAGGGAAAAUCCAUGGCACUUCAUAACUAUUAGAUGAGUCUAUUGGAUAUUGAGCUAAAUGUACCUGUGGCUAUAAGUCCAUUGACUGCAAUAAUGUGGCACACUAUUAGAAGAACUUCACCAGAAUGGUAGGUGUUGUGGACACUAAGCAUUUUUGGCUGAUGUCUAGCCACAUGGCAUCCUUCAUGGGGCCAUGCUCUUUUGUUCAACUGCAGCAAUAUGGUACGUAAUGUUACAAAAAUAUUCCCUUAGUCAAUUACCAACUGCUCCCCCCCCAAAAAAGGACCAGAGGUUCUAAACUUUUUUCUUUUCUCUCUCUCUGUGUGUGUCUGUGUGUGUGUGUGUGUGUGUGUGUGUGUGUGUGUGUGAGAGAGAGAGAGAGAGAGAGAGAGAGAGAAAUAACUCUGAAGUCCUCUGGGUACUAGGUUUAUUUGCUAUGUUUGUAGGCUGUUGAAAUACUUGGUGUUUUGCUUCUGAUCUGAAAAUGCAGAAAAAACACUGAAGGAGCUUUGUCGCUGAAGCUGUGCAAAUAUUCAAAUGAACCAACUAGCUUCCUGGACAAAUAUACUCUGGGUAUUGUGUGUCCCCUUUUAACAUCUCAUUCAUUAUCUUUUAGAAAAAAAACAGACUCCUCUUUCUCUGAAAUUUUAAAAGACUUUGCAGAGAAUACAUCUGGUGGUUUUUAAACGUAGCACAAUAGUUACUUUAACAUAUAGCCUGAAGAAAGAGUAUGCACGAGCAUUACAGUAUGUUUGAGAUAAGGACCAAGCCCCAUGUGCUUAGCAUACAGAGCCUGUGUUUAGUUUGAAGAAGUCAUGUUCAGCUUCUUUAAAAAAGCACUACUUACACGCAGUGAUGAGCUGCCAGAAGCUGAAGAACCAGUUCCUUCAGUUGCUCUGGGUCUUCAGCGGCACUGAAGAACCUGCUGCCAAAGUGCCGCCGAAGGCCUGGAGCGAAUGAAAGACCUGCCGCCGAAGGCCCAGAGUGAAUGAAGAACCCGCCACUGAAGUGCUGCCGAAGGCCCAGAGUGCCGCUGGGUGAGUAAAAAUUCUCAGACUGGGAGCUUCCCCAGCUGAGAGCUCAGGUAGGAUGGAAAAGACAGUCCCGCGGGCCACAGUUUGCUCACUCCUUUAACAACUGGUUCUAAACCGGCUUCAAAAUUUAACAACCAGUUCACGUGAACUGGCUCCAGCUCACCACUGCUUACAUGCCAUUAGAACAAGGGAUGGGGCUGAUAACCAGUCACUGUUCUACAUUCUUCAAUUGUGUGCCAUUUUUGGAAGUAUUCUUCAACUAUUUUCAGUGCUUUUCAUUAACAAAAUUGUUGAUCAUUCAAAUAAACAAACUGGUUCUGGAAAAUAGCCCUAAUUUCCGUGCAAUCUUUCUUCCUGACGCUCCUGGAGAACCAGUUAAUUUCUCAACAUUAGCUUCCAUUUUAAAUAGUUACAGUUAAGUUGGGUUUAAAUCUAGCAACAUUCACACCUUGGCCACAGUUUUGUGGGCUCUUACUGAGGACAGAAUUUGGCUCCUUGUGUCUAAAUUGGUGAAUAAUGCCAUAAAGAUAAACAGACUCAAUAAAUCAUCUUGUUUUAUAGUCAGAGAGUGAGAAGACCCCAGAUGUAGAGCAAAAUGCUAUUUGGGAUCCUGCUUGGGAUCAUGGUAGGGACUGUAGGCCCAAUAUCCUCGCCACGGCAUGAUACAGUAAUUUGAUUAUAGAAUGCUAUUUCAGUGUAAGAGCUGAAGUAGCAUUUAUUCCUAGAUUGUAAAUGUUUUUCUUUAUCCACUCUUACUUAGGGCAACUUCUUCUUUUAUGUAUAUUCAUAGGUCUCCUUAUCAUCUUAUUAUUAUUAUUAUUAUUUUUAUUGAUUGAUUGAAGUGCCUAGUUAGCCCAAGUAAUAGACCAGGAUCCCAUUGUGCUAGGCAUUGUACAAACACAGAACAGAAAGAUGGGCCCUCCCCCAAAGAGUUUAUAAUCUAAUGUGAGAGGAAGAAUGGCACACUGGAUACAGUGCUGGAGUGGAAAGGCAGGGGACUUGAGUUCUGUUUAUGGCUUUAUUAUUUUCUCACUGUGUGAAAACAGGCAAGUCACAAAACCUUCUCUGUGCCUCAGGUUUACCAUCUGUAAAUUGGGGAUAGUAUUACUUUUCUAUUAUUGUAAAAGAACUUUGAAACAAAAAAAAAGGACAAAAGUGUUGUGUACCAUUGUAAUGUCCCAUGCAACAGCAGACUUAACUUUCAUGAUUUAUUCUGGUUUCUUGUUAUCAAUUAAAAGUAGAUCUGUUUUUAUUAUUAUGGUCAGAUAAGUGCUGACUAUCUAGGAAAUAGAAAUAACAAUCCUUCCUUUCUCCUACUCUUUGUCUAUCUUAUCUGUGUAGAAUAUACAUUCUUGGGGGAAGGGAAUGUCUCUUAUGAUGUACAUGUUCACUGCCAAACGUAACAGAGUCCCUCUACGUGCUAUUGUAAUACAAAUAAUUAUUGAUCACCUCCAGGUUCUUAUAUUGUCACCCACCACUGAAUUAUCUGAGUACUAAUAAUUAUUUUUAAUACUUAGAUAUUUCAUUGUUUGAUAUUGUUAAUUCACAAUCAAAUUCCAUUGUGGAGGUUCCACUCUUUUCACUGAAGUAUUGAUCACUAUUCAUCAUAGUUUAUUCAACUGUAUGGAUGGUUGAUUUUUCAGUUAUGAUUUUUUCCAUGUUUCAGAGGAACCCAGAGGAUAUCUGGCAAUGGUUUUUAAAAAAAAAAGAAAAAAAAAAAAAGAAAAAAGCAACAUUAGAAAAUCCAAACAAGUGUUUUUUAAUCUGUAAAGAGCUUUAUUUUUAUAAAUGUCUGACUAAAUCUUACAUGUUGUUAUGACAUAUUAACACAUUGUGCUUUGCAAUCAAUACAUUUCAUCCAAAUUUAACAAAGGAUUCCAAAUGUGUUUUUAACUAGGAACAAUCAUUUGGAAAUGUGCAAGUAAUUGGGAAAAAUAGGUCAACUGUCAGUUACUCUUUGCAAAUGCUAUUUAUUACAGUUGCUACAGUUAUGAUGUCUUUUUAUGAAGCUUCUAAUCUUUGUCCUGUGGUCCUAUUCUCUCUGAACAAAUUAGCAAGAAGAUGAAUUUCAUUGUGCAGCCUUCAUUUUGCAUGCUAGGAGACUCUGAAAUGGUUUCUAAUGGACCCUCUGGUCCCACCCCUCCCAUUGCUACCCCAUUAUUGUGGUUUGCAGGCAGCAUGUGCAGGUGGUGAUAAUGCACUCACACCUCUUCCUGGCUUAUACAAUUUGCAUAUGACAUUUUCUCUGAAAAUUGCCUGAUGCCAUGAGAAUUAGCUGACCUGAGCUGAAAGUAAAGGGCGGCUAUUUCCCUCUUGUUAUUGAGCACAAUUACACUAACUACCCAAACUAAUUUGGAGGGGAGGGAGAGAUAGCAAAGGAAAGGGUGGCAAAAGGAGGGGCCCCACAGGGGGGUUAUUAUGCAGGAUUAUAAAGUGGCAGGAGGCCAAGCACGCUUGCCAAGAUUAAUCUCUUUCGGGAAGUUGCCAGUCUGAAUGCUCAGGUAGUGCUUUCUGUUUGCUGAUUCAUGUGAUGGAAUAGGUAUCAGCCUCUCUCUCUCCUGGCUGAAGGUAAUAACUUGAGUGAGAGGAGACUGGGAAUAUCAAGAGGGCAAAAUAGAGCAGGAUUAAAUCAACAAUAUAAAACUCUGGAUAGGUUAGUCCUGAAGCUCCCAAGCAAACCUUUUGAGCCUGAUUUUCAAAACAUUACAUGCAAAAUUGUGCAUGCAAAUGGGGCAAUGAUUAUCGUUUGUUUAUUAUUUGACAGUUGGAUCCAUAACAAUCCAUUAGCAUGUCCAAAUGCCUGCUUUGCAUAAACAGUUGUGGCAACUAUACAUGUAUGUUAGUGUGACCUGUGUGUGUGCACAAUCAGAUUCUUAAUACAAUAAAAACGCAGUUGAGAAGCCUGAUGUACAGGUAUUGACUGGAGCAGGAACAGUAUAUGAAAGGGUAUGUCAGGAAAGAGGGAAAUUCUUUCACAAAUGUUCAGAAGUGUCCAAAGCAGUUUCACUGUGAGAAAUCAGAACGAGAAUAUAACACAUCUUUACAAAGUGGCCCCGGUGCAUGGCAAUAGCCACGCAGGUUGUGCUCACUUUGCAUUCUCAUGACCAACUGAUUUUUGCAUUCCAGUAAAUUAAUCCUGUGAAUAAGGAUGGAUUGUUCCAAUACAACUGCUAAGGGGAAGGAAUGGGGAAGUAUGACUAGCAAGAGUGAAAAAGAGACAAGGCCAGCUGCCUCACUCAGAGGACCGAGAUAAGAGUUUGAGAAUAAAAAGAAGCAUCCAUUUCUUUAAAGAGGAUUUUCACCUCUCAAAGAUGUAAACGUAAAAGAAAACCCCUUGUAGGUGUUCCUUUCACAAGAUGAACAAAUAACCUAGAGAAUGAUGAAUACCUCAUCACAUAGCUGAGAGCUUUUCUGUUUAAACUUCACAUAAUUGGCAGGGUACUAAACCUUGCCUUGCUGAGCCACAGACUCCUCUCCUUGGUGGCUGCAGGAGGAUCUCUAACUCCGCUGGGAGAGUUGUGAACAGUUUUUGAAGCCUCUGCUAUUCCAAAGACUGGGCUGCAGGGGGUACCAGCACUCUUCUCUGAUGGACUAGCUCAUGUCACCUCCACUAGUCCAAAGAGAAACUCCAGAGUCUAAUCCUAAAUCUAGAUCUUCUAUUUGGCAAUGCUAUGUGCUGCUGCCACAAAAUUGUUUUUGGCUCAGUCUCCCUUAUUCAAUGCUAUGGGCUUUAAGAGAGAGCCAUUGAUAGCAGUAAGGGUAAAAGAACAACAGAAGAAUAGAGCCGUGCUGAACUAUUUCUUACUAAAUUUCCUACCCCAGCUCAGGCUAUUGGUACUUCAUGUCUGCACAGGCACUUACUUUAUUUCACUAGCAUGUAAUAAAAUAUAAUUUAACUCAGAUAAAAAAAAUCCCAUGCGAUGUAUAUAAGAUCCAGAAAACUAUUUAGUACAAUCAUUGCUAAUAUGCUGCUUAUCGGUUCUAUGACAGUUCAGUGAAAAACUGCAGCCAUAUUUUCAGUCCGUGUAAUAGAUUAAGAUGAUAAAUCUGACAAGACCUGCCUAGCAAAGCUAGCAGUGAACUAACAAAUUCUUUUCUCCCCAUUAAGAAUGGCCUCCAUUGAUGGAGAGUCUUCACAUAACAGAAUGCUUUAUAUCUCCAGACAGCUGCUGAUAGAUGUAAAUUUGUGGCAGUCAUACGCAGAAAACUAAUAAGCUUGGAUGAUCAGGGAAUGCCACAAUAGUGACACUCCAUCACACGGUAAAAGCUGAUUAGUUUUGUGCGUAUGUGGCUGUCCCUUUGCCUGUCUAUUGGAAAGGUUUCAGAUAGGAAUAAGAAUGGUAAAGGCAGUGGCUCUUCAUUUCCCUCUGUGGAGAGAGUUGAGGAAAUGGGAAGGAGCCAAUUCUUCACCUUGAAAGUGGAGCAAAAUGGAACAUCAGUCAUGGAGGAUUCUGGGGUGACUGGAACAUUGGCUGUCCCCUUAACUCGGAUGGCAUGGCUGUGACUCCACGAGGAGGAGAGCAUGUCCUGAAGAUUGGGGCUAGGUCUGUGAGAAAAGGUUGGGGAGGCAGGUUGUAGCAAAAUUGGCUGAGGAAGUUAUCUGCAGCUGACAGAAGGGCCACAUGUCUGGGACAGUAGAACAGUUCUAGGGCAAUGCAAACAGUGCGCUGGCACACAGCACUCUCCAACUGUGGUAACUUCCAAGUUCGGGGCUGGGAGCAGUGGGAAUAAAUGAAUGUUUCUGUAGGAGUCUUGUGUGGAAAAGGGGUGAGAAGCAAGAAUCUCUUUGGGAGGGAUGGGAAGGAGAUAGAAGAAACUAUGCCCCCUCCCCCACAGGCCGUGAAUUUCCUCUAGGAAUAUGUCUAGUCCUGUAAUCCAAUAAAUAAUGUCACUGGGGGUGGAAACUGAGGAUCAUGGAAGGUGGCACUGUGGGAUUGAGGCACAGUGCUAGAAAUGAAUGAUUUGCUUACAUCUGGGACACAGAGAGGAUGGAGUUCAAGGGAAACCCUUACUUCCUCACAUUGAAGACUAACAGAUUUAUUUGGGCAUAAGCUUUCAUGGGUAAAAAACCCACUUCUUCAGAUGCAUUUGAAGAAGUGGAUUUUUUACCCACAAAAGCAUAUGCCCAAAUAAAUCUGUUAGUCUUUAAGGUGCCACCGGACUCCUCAUUGUUUUUAUGGAUACAGACUAACAUGGCUACCCCUCUGAUACUUCCUGACAUUAAUAUUUUAUUUUAAUGAAAAAAGUGCUCUAGUUUAAAACACCCAAAUUAUUUCAUGCACCCUCAAAGAAUGAGGGCAAAAUUGAGAGAAGCAGGUGGAUGUUCAGAGUAAAAAGUAAUGAUGUACAGAGUUUCUUGUGUUAAGUAAUGGUGGGCAGGAAGAACAAGCGCAGAGAGGAUACACAAAGAACUUAUAGAAAAUAUCUUGGGGAAAAAAGAGAGAGAAACAAAAGUCAUUCCCAUAGCAUGGUCAUCUAGUCUGACCUCCUGCAUA